AGAAUCGGGGAGCAGUCUUUGGUUUCCAGAUUGAGUGGUGGGACUUCUGUGGAAGCUACUCAUCACUUGAGGUUUCCUGUGGUAGUAGUUUGGUGGUUUAGGGGUUCUGUUAGAAUUCUUUGUGUUCACAAUUUCACAGAUCUCCUUUGGUAACUGUUUUGGGGAAGCAGCAGGUUGGGGAGGGGGAGAGGUUCUUCAUCAGCCCUUGAAAAGCACAGAAAAAAUGGUUAAGGAAGUUUGAAUUGAAGAACCAUACCAGCACUCUCAAGCAGUGUGAGGUGUAAAAUUACACACUUCUAGGUGUAAGAUUCUGGCAAAGAUCUCUAAUAAAACAUGUUGCAAAUGCC
rnacentral:lncRNA from 1 species